GACGAACGCUGGCGGCGUGCCUAGUACAUGCAAGUAGAACGCACAGUUUAUACCGUAGCUUGCUACACCAUAGACUGUGAGUUGCGAACGGGUGAGUAACGCGUAGGUAACCUGCCUGGUAGCGGGGGAUAACUAUUGGAAACGAUAGCUAAUACCGCAUAAUAUUGAUUAUUGCAUGAUAAUUGAUUGAAAGAUGCUAUUGCAUCACUACCAGAUGGACCUGCGUUGUAUUAGCUAGUAGGUGAGGUAACGGCUCACCUAGGCGACGAUACAUAGCCGACCUGAGAGGGUGAUCGGCCACACUGGGACUGAGACACGGCCCAGACUCCUACGGGAGGCAGCAGUAGGGAAUCUUCGGCAAUGGACGAAAGUCUGACCGAGCAACGCCGCGGGAGUGAAGAAGGUUGUCGGAUCGUAAAGCUCUGUUGUAAGAGAAGAACGGGUGUGAGAGUGGAAAGUUCACACUGUGACGGUAUCUUACCAGAAAGGGACGGCUAACUACGUG
rnacentral:rRNA from 1 species